UACGGGGGGAGCAAGCGUUGUUCGGAUUUACUAGGCGUAAAGGGCGCGUAGGCGGCCACCGCAGGUCGACUGUGAAAUCUCCGGGCUUAACCCGGAAAGGUCAGCCGAUACUGCGGGGCUAGAGUGCAGAAGGGGCAACUGGAAUUCUCGGUGUAGCGGUGAAAUGCGUAGAUAUCGUAAGGAAGACCAGUGGCGAAGGCGAGUCUCUGGACAGUUACUGACGCUGAGGCACGAAGGCCAGGGGAGCAAACGGG
rnacentral:rRNA from 1 species